UACAGAGGUCCCAAGCGUUGUUCGGAUUCAUUGGGCGUAAAGGGUGCGUAGGCGGCGCGGGAAGUGGGUGUGAAACCUCGGAGCUUAACUCCGAAACUGCAUUCGAUACUGGCGUGCUUGAGGACUGGAGAGGAGACUGGAAUUCAUGGUGUAGCAGUGAAAUGCGUAGAGAUCAUGAGGAAGACCAGUGGCGAAGGCGGGUCUCUGGACAGUUCCUGACACUGAGACACGAAGGCCAGGGGAGCAAACGGG
rnacentral:rRNA from 1 species